rnacentral:rRNA from 1 species
AGUGAACGCUGGCGGUAGGCCUAACACAUGCAAGUCGAACGGCAGCACAGUAAGAGCUUGCUCUUACGGGUGGCGAGUGGCGGACGGGUGAGGAUUACAUCGGAAUCUACUUUUUCGUGGGGGAUAACGUAGGGAAACUUACGCUAAUACCGCAUACGACCUACGGGUGAAAGCAGGGGAUCUUCGGACCUUGCGCGAUUGAAUGAGCCGAUGUCGGAUUAGCUAGUUGGCGGGGUAAAGGCCCACCAAGGCGACGAUCCGUAGCCGGUCUGAGAGGAUGAUAAGCCACACUGGAACUGAGACACGGUCCAGACUCCUACGGGAGGCAGCAGUGGGGAAUAUUGGACAAUGGGCGCAAGCCUGAUCCAGCCAUACCGCGUGGGUGAAGAAGGCCUUCGGGUUGUAAAGCCCUUUUGUUGGGAAAGAAAAGCAGCAGGUUAAUACCCCGCUGUUCUGACGGUACCCAAAGAAUAAGCACCGGCUAACUUCGUG